rnacentral:rRNA from 1 species
UACGAGGGGUGCAAACGUUAUUCGGAUUUAUUGGGUGUAAAGGGUGCGUAGACGGUGUAUUAAGUUUGUUGUUAAAUCUCUUGGCCUAACUGAGAGCUUGCAAUGAAAACUGAUAUGCUUGAGUGUGGAAGAGAGAAGUGGAAUUCUCGGAGUAGCGGUAAAAUGCGUAGAUCUCGAGAGGAACACCGAUGGCGAAGGCAGCUUCUUGGUCCAUUACUGACGUUGAGGCACGAAAGCGUGGGGAGCAAACAGG